CAGGGAAUAGUUUAAUAAAAUAUUAAUUUUGGAGAUUAAAGAUAGGGGUUUCUCUUUCUCUGA
rnacentral:tRNA from 2 species